rnacentral:rRNA from 1 species
GAUGAACGCUGGCGGCGUGCCUAAUACAUGCAAGUCGAGCGAACAGAUGAGGAGCUUGCUCCUCUGACGUUAGCGGCGGACGGGUGAGUAACACGUGGAUAACCUACCUAUAAGACUGGGAUAACUUCGGGAAACCGGAGCUAAUACCGGAUAAUAUAUUGAACCGCAUGGUUCAAUAGUGAAAGACGGUUUUGCUGUCACUUAUAGAUGGAUCCGCGCCGCAUUAGCUAGUUGGUAAGGUAACGGCUUACCAAGGCAACGAUGCGUAGCCGACCUGAGAGGGUGAUCGGCCACACUGGAACUGAGACACGGUCCAGACUCCUACGGGAGGCAGCAGGAGGGAAUCUUCCGCAAUGGGCGAAAGCCUGACGGAGCAACGCCGCGGGAGUGAUGAAGGUCUUCGGAUCGUAAAACUCUGUUAUUAGGGAAGAACAAAUGUGUAAGUAACUAUGCACGUCUUGACGGUACCUAAGCAGAAAGCCACGGCUAACUACGU